UCCCUACGGGAGGCAGCAGUGGGGAAUAUUGCACAAUGGGGGAAACCCUGAUGCAGCGACGCCGCGUGAGUGAAGAAGCGCCUCGGCGCGUAAAGCUCUGUCAGCAGGAACGAUAAUGACGGUACCUGAAGAAGAAGCCACGGCUAACUACGUGCCAGCAGCCGCGGUAAUACGUAGGUGGCGAGCGUUGUCCGGAAUUACUGGGUGUAAAGGGAGUGUAGGCGGGAAAGCAAGUCAGAAGUGAAAACUAUGGGCUUAACCCAUAGCCUGCUUUUGAAACUGUUUUUCUUGGGUGAAGUAGAGGG
rnacentral:rRNA from 1 species